UACGGAGGGUGCAAGCGUUAUCCGGAUUCACUGGGUUUAAAGGGUGCGUAGGUGGAAUGGCAAGUCAGUGGUGAAAUCUCCAAGCUUAACUUGGAAACUGCCGUUGAUACUAUCAUUCUUGAAUAUCGUGGAGGUGAGCGGAAUAUGUCAUGUAGCGGUGAAAUGCUUAGAUAUGACAUAGAACACCGAUUGCGAAGGCAGCUCACUACACGAUCAUUGACACUGAGGCACGAAAGCGUGGGGAGCAAACAGG
rnacentral:rRNA from 1 species